UACGGAGGAUGCAAGCGUUAUCCGGAUUUAUUGGGUUUAAAGGGUGCGCAGGUUGUUUGAUAAGUCAGUGGUGAAAGUCUGUCGCUUAACGGUAGGAUUGCCAUUGAUACUGUUAGACUUGAAUAUGGUUGAGGUAGGCGGAAUGUGUAGUGUAGCGGUGAAAUGCAUAGAUAUUACACAGAACACCGAUUGCGAAGGCAGCUUACUAAUCCAUCAUUGACGCUGAGGCACGAAAGCGUGGGGAUCAAACAGGAUUA
rnacentral:rRNA from 1 species